AACAAGUGGUCCCCAGGCUCCUGUUGACUUCAAGGAGAACAAUGGUGGCCUUGCAGAGUCUGGCCUUUGGAGAUGGAGCUCACACGUGGAAGGAUCCUGGAUCAGAACCAGUUUAGUUUUUCUUCUGUUCUAAUGCCAGUAUUUUCUUAGUACCCACUUUACAGAUAAGGAAACAGGUGUGAAGAUGUUGGGUAACACGACCAGCCUGAGGUCUGGCGUCUUCAGAGCAGACAAUUCACUCAGGGGUGGUUUCUCCAGUGCGGCUGGGAAGAGAAGCGGCAGACAGGGCAGCACCUGCUGCUGCUGCUGCUGCUCUGGGAAACCUUGCAGACUCAGUUUCUCCUAAGAUGUGGGGAGAAAAGCUGGGAGAGGCACGCAUCCCGCCUGACUCGGAAGACUGGGUGGCCGCAUCCCUCGCGUGGGCAUCAAGAGGCUGCAGCCCCUCUGCUGUGACUUCCUAGCAGUUCUUGGACUUUGGUGCCAAGGAAUCCUAACGAAGCAAAUAUUCCAUUAAACAACAACGACGUCAUGGUGAAAGACUAUUACAGAUUCAACCAGGCGGACGUGUCGGGCGUCACAUAAGGGUUAGAUGUAGGAAAUUUCACAGUGAGUCCUGAGCUUCCCCACGAGGUCGAUAUUCGUGGCUUUGACAACAUGUUUAGACUCAAGCAUCACAGGAAACGAG
rnacentral:lncRNA from 1 species